rnacentral:rRNA from 1 species
UACGAAGGUCCCAAGUGUUAUCCGGAUUUAUUGGGUUUAAAGGGUGCGUAGGCGGGUUAUUAAGUCAGUGGUGAAAGCCUUCAGCUCAACUGAAGAACUGCCAUUGAUACUGAUGAUCUUGAGUACGAUUGAGGUAGGCGGAAUGUGUCAUGUAGCGGUGAAAUGCUUAGAUAUGACACAGAACACCGAUUGCGAAGGCAGCUUACUAAGUCGUAACUGACGCUGAUGCACGAAAGCGUGGGGAGCAAACAGG